rnacentral:tRNA from 1 species
GGAGGGGUCGCAUAGUCCGGCCGAGUGCGGGCGACUCGAAAUCGCCUGGGGUCUUUGUGCCCCCGUGGGUUCAAAUCCCACCCCCUCCG